ensembl:lincRNA
UAGCUGAAGCCUUGGUUUCUAAGUUUCCGUGUCUUAGGGAGCCAGGUUCAUUUGCGGGAUUAUAUGGCUGGCAGCAGCGCAUAAAAAACAAGAUGCACAAUUACCGUGCCAAGCUAAGAUCUCGAAAAUAUUCUUACCCGGAAAUUGAAAUCAACACCUUAAAAAGGAAGCAUCCCGCUGAUGUAGGGCCUUUAAAAAAUAUAAAAAAGGCCAAAAAAGCAGAGGUUAAUUACCUCCCUCCACACCCUACUGGUGAAAGCCAAGAGACACUGGAGAAAGAGAGACUUGAAUUAAUUUGUGAAAUUACAAAGAAAAACAAUGCAAAGAUAAUUGCAGAUAAAAUGAAUAAAACCUUCUCUAGCCGAAGAAUUGAAGUGGUCAGCCUCAGCCCCUCUGUUGAUGUGUUUAAAGAAAGGUGGCCAGCAUUAUUCACUGAGGCUCAGAUCAAGGAGGAGUUCAGACGCAUCACAACGGUUUCCUUGGAGGAGACAUUCCUGCGGAAGCUUGAUGAGUACACACCUGGUCUUUUGCGGCUAAUGCGUGCCAAAGGAGGAGCAGCUGGUUGCAAGAUGCGUCCUCUGCUGGACAGUUUAAAUACACAGAACAUUGAGGAAAAAAGAGAUGCUGUUGUCUGCUGCCUCAUUAACUACCUCGGUGAAAGACAAGAAGAUCUUUUCCAUGAAUGGCAGGAAUGUGAGGAGUACACAGACAAAACAAUGAAGGUGAUUGUGAAGCACAAUGUCAUGGCUGAGGAGGACGAUUUGUCUAUUGUGAUCGAGGGAAACCAAGUGAUGGAAGGAUGUGGAAGCCGAACAAAGGCAUGCAUACUGCUGAUGGGACUCAUAUAUGCAAUCAACAUUGAAUAUCCAA